CCUUUUGUAAUAAAUUGUCACUGAACGAAAUAGUCAGUCUCAUUCUGCUCUUCAAAUAGGACUGUCGUUUUAUUUUCAGCGCAUAUACCGUAGUUUGAGAACGCAUCAACAUGGCAGAGAAUAAUGAGUCAUCGCGUCAGGGAGAGGCAGAGCCGCUAUCGCCACCGGAUGCACCGGAUCGAAAGUCAAUAUUCCUAAAAGAACUACAUAAAUCGAAUUAUUCAAUCGCGCAUUAGCCAAACGCUGGAAGCCAACACUGAUCACCAGCAGCAGCCGGAAAACAUAUUUGUAAUCGCGCUGACUGGAAGCGAAGAAAAAAUUGAAAAAGUGGUGCAUGAGGCAGAAAAGAACGGAGUUAAAUGUUUCCUUAUACACAAAUUUUAAACACAACUACCACACAAUCCAAUUGUCAGUUUAAAAAUAAAAAAAAAUAAUAAAAAAACAUGUUUAGAUUUUGUUUUGAAAUUCAAUUUAUUUAGGGA